GUGUCAGCAGCCGCGGUAACACGUAGGAGGCAAGCGUUAUCCGGAUUUACUGGGUGUAAAGCGCAAGCAGGCGGUUGGAGAAGUCACCUGUGAAAGCGCCCGGCUCAACUGGGCGAGGACGGGUGAGACUCUUCGACUAGAGGUAGGUAGAGGCAUGUGGAAUUCCGGGUGUAGUAGUGAAAUGCGUAGAGAUCCGGAGGAACACCAGUGGCGAAGGCGACAUGCUGGACCUAAACUGACGCUCAGAUGCGAAAGCACGGGGAGCGAACGGGAUUAGAUACCCCUGUAGUCC
rnacentral:rRNA from 1 species